UUAGCAUCAGCCUUCUAAGCUGAGGGUCGCAGGUUCGAGCCCUGCAUGAGGCG
rnacentral:tRNA from 1 species